rnacentral:rRNA from 1 species
GAUGAACGCUGGCGGCGUGCCUAAUACAUGCAAGUCGAGCGAACAGAUGAGGAGCUUGCUCCUCUGACGUUAGCGGCGGACGGGUGAGUAACACGUGGAUAACCUACCUAUAAGACUGGGAUAACUUCGGGACACCGGAGCUAAUACCGGAUAAUAUAUUGAACCGCAUGGUUCAAUAGUGAAAGACGGUUUUGCUGUCACUUAUAGAUGGAUCCGCGCCGCAUUAGCUAGUUGGUAAGGUAACGGCUUACCAAGGCAACGAUGCGUAGCCGACCUGAGAGGGUGAUCGGCCCCACUGGAACUGAGACACGGCCCAGACUCCGACGGGAGGCAGCAGUAGGGAAUCUUCCGCAAUGGGCGAAAGCCUGACGGAGCAACGCCGCGUGAGUGAUGAAGGUCUUCGGAUCGUAAAACUCUGUUAUUAGGGAAGAACAAAUGUGUAAGUAACUAUGCACGUCUGGACGGUACCUAAUCAGAAAGCCACGGCUAACUACGG